UACAGAGGGGGCAAGCGUUGUUCGGAAUUACUGGGCGUAAAGGGCGCGUAGGCGGCCUUCUAAGUCGAACGUGAAAUCCCCGGGCUCAACCCGGGAACUGCGUCCGAUACUGGGAGGCUUGAAUCCGGGAGAGGGAUGCGGAAUUCCAGGUGUAGCGGUGAAAUGCGUAGAUAUCUGGAGGAAUACCGGUGGCGAAGGCGGCAUCCUGGACCGACAUUGACGCUGAGGAGCGAAAGCUAGGGGAGCAAACGGG
rnacentral:rRNA from 1 species